rnacentral:rRNA from 1 species
AUACGUAGGUGGCGAGCGUUGUCCGGAAUUACUGGGCGUAAAGCGCGUGUAGGUGGUUUGGUAAGUAGGGCGUGAAAGCUCCUGGCUCAACUGGGAGAGGACGUUCUAAACUGCCAAGCUUGAGGAUGGUAGAGGGAGGUGGAAUUCCGGGUGUAGCGGUGGAAUGCGCAGAUAUCCGGAGGAACACCAGUGGCGAAGGCGGCCUCCUGGACCACUCCUGACACUCAGACGCGAAAGCUAGGGUAGCAAACGGGAUUAGAGACCCCGGUAGUCCUAGCCCUAAACGAUGUAGACUUGGCGUCGGUGGUUUAAUCGCCAUCGGUGUCGUAGCUAACGCGUUAAGUCUACCGCCUGGGGACUACGGCCGCAAGGUUAAA